UCCGGUUGGUCCUGCCGGAGGCUACUGCUAUCGGGGUCCGACUAAGCCAUGCGAGUUGAGAGGGGUAAGCCCUCGGCAUAUUGCUCAGUAACACGCGGAUAACCUGCCCUUGGGUUCGGGAUAACCCCGGGAAACUGGGACUAAUACCGGAUAGAUCAAAGAAACUGGAAUGUUCUUUGGUUAAAAACUCCGGUGCCCAAGGAUGGGUCUGCGGCCUAUCAGGUAGUAGUGGGUGUAACGUACCUACUAGCCUACGACGGGUAAGGGUUGUGAGAGCAAGAGCCCUGAGAUGGAUUCUGAGACAUGAAUCCAGGCCCUACGGGGUGCAGCAGGCGCGAAACUUUACACUGCGGGAAACCGCGAUAAGGGGACCCCGAGUGCCAGCACCUAGUGCUGGCUGUCCAGCUGUCCAAAUAACAGUUGUUAGCAAGGGCCGGGCAAGACCGGUGCCAGCCGCCGCGGUAACACCGGCGGCCCGAGUGGUAGCCGUUAUUAUUGGGUUUAAAGGGUCCGUAGCCGGCCUAUUAAGUCUCUUGGGAAAUCUGGCGACUCAAUCGUCAGGCGUCCAAGAGAUACUGGUAGGCUUGGGACCGGGAGAGGUGGGAGGUACUCCAGGGGUAGGGGUGAAAUCUCGUAAUCCUUGGGGGACCACCGAUGGCGAAGGCAUCCCACCAGAACGGGUCCGACGGUGAGGGACGAAAGCUGGGGGCACGAACCGGAUUAGAUACCCGGGUAGUCCCAGCCGUAAACGAUGCUCGCUAGGUGUCAGGUGCAGUGCGACCGCAUCUGGUCCCGCAGUGAAAACUUGAAGCGAGUAACCUGGGAAGUACGGUCGCAAGGCUGAAACUUAAAGGGAUUGGCGGGGGAGCACUGCAACGG
rnacentral:rRNA from 1 species